rnacentral:lncRNA from 1 species
AAAAGAGAGAAAUAAAAAAAAAUGUAUAUCAUGAGAAGUAUCAUGAAACACUUAUCUAGAAGUAUUAAGGUUGGCAAAAAGCAUGCUCAAAGAGCAAUAAAAGAAAAUAUAUGAGCCAAUGAAUCUCGACAAGAACGGUGUCCAAAAGAAAUACCCCUGAUUUUUAGAUUGAACAACAGUUACGAGGAUAACAACACGAACUCUGAUCCUGAACCCCUAGUUUUUCCAUUUUUUUG